rnacentral:rRNA from 1 species
AUACGGAGGGGGUUAGCGUUGUUCGGAAUUACUGGGCGUAAAGCGCACGUAGGCGGAUUGGAAAGUUGGGGGUGAAAUCCCAGGGCUCAACCCUGGAACUGCCUCCAAAACUAACAGUCUAGAGUUCGAGAGAGGUGAGUGGAAUUCCAAGUGUAGAGGUGAAAUUCGUAGAUAUUUGGAGGAACACCAGUGGCGAAGGCGGCUCACUGGCUCGAUACUGACGCUGAGGUACGAAAGUGUGGGGAGCAAACAGGAUUAGAAACCCUAGUAGUCC